UACGGAGGGGGCUAGCGUUGUUCGGAAUUACUGGGCGUAAAGCGCACGUAGGCGGCUUUGUAAGUUAGAGGUGAAAGCCCGGAGCUCAACUCCGGAAUUGCCUUUAAGACUGCAUCGCUUGAAUCAUGGAGAGGUGAGUGGAAUUCCGAGUGUAGAGGUGAAAUUCGUAGAUAUUCGGAAGAACGCCAGUGGCGAAGGCGACUCACUGGACAUGUAUUGACGCUGAGGUGCGAAAGCGUGGGGAGCAAACAGG
rnacentral:rRNA from 1 species